UACAUGGGGUGCAAACGUUGCUCGGAAUUAUUGGGCGUAAAGCGCGCGUAGGCGGUUACUUAAGUCGGAUGUGAAAGCCCUCGGCUCAACCUGGGAACUGCAUCCGAAACUGCCUUGCUAGAGUAUGGGAGAGGGAAGUGGAAUUUCCGGUGUAGCGGUGAAAUGCGUAGAUAUCGGAAGGAACAUCAGUGGCGAAGGCGACUUCCUGGACCAAUACUGACGCUCAGGUGCGAAAGCGUGGGGAGCAAACAGG
rnacentral:rRNA from 1 species